GUACUGAUGAAGAGUCCCAAACUAAAAGGGACGAAACAGCUGCCCAGUAC
rnacentral:hammerhead_ribozyme from 1 species